UACGUAGGGUGCAAGCGUUGUCCGGAAUUAUUGGGCGUAAAGAGCUCGUAGGUGGCCUGUUGCGUCCGCUGUGAAAACUCGGGGCUUAACCCCGAGCCUGCAGUGGAUACGGGCAGACUAGAGGUAGGUAGGGGAGAAUGGAAUUCCCGGUGUAGCGGUGAAAUGCGCAGAUAUCGGGAGGAACACCGGUGGCGAAGGCGGUUCUCUGGGCCUUACCUGACGCUGAGGAGCGAAAGCGUGGGGAGCGAACAGG
rnacentral:rRNA from 1 species